rnacentral:rRNA from 1 species
AGAGUUUGAUCAUGGCUCAGAUUGAACGCUGGCGGCAGGCCUAACACAUGCAAGUCGAGCGGUAGCACAGAGAGCUUGCUCUCGGGUGACGAGCGGCGGACGGGUGAGUAAUGUCUGGGAAACUGCCUGAUGGAGGGGGAUAACUACUGGAAACGGUAGCUAAUACCGCAUAACGUCGCAAGACCAAAGUGGGGGACCUUCGGGCCUCAUGCCAUCAGAUGUGCCCAGAUGGGAUUAGCUAGUAGGUGGGGUAACGGCUCACCUAGGCGACGAUCCCUAGCUGGUCUGAGAGGAUGACCAGCCACACUGGAACUGAGACACGGUCCAGACUCCUACGGGAGGCAGCAGUGGGGAAUAUUGCACAAUGGGCGCAAGCCUGAUGCAGCCAUGCCGCGUGUGUGAAGAAGGCCUUCGGGUUGUAAAGCACUUUCAGCGGGGAGGAAGGCGAUAAGGUUAAUAACCUUGGCGAUUGACGUUACCCGCAGAAGAAGCACCGGCUAACUCCGUGCCAGCAGCCGCGGUAAUACGGAGGGUGCAAGCGUUAAUCGGAAUUACUGGGCGUAAAGCGCACGCAGGCGGUCUGUCAAGUCGGAUGUGAAAUCCCCGGGCUCAACCUGGGAACUGCAUUCGAAACUGGCAGGCUAGAGUCUUGUAGAGGGGGGUAGAAUUCCAGGUGUAGCGGUGAAAUGCGUAGAGAUCUGGAGGAAUACCGGUGGCGAAGGCGGCCCCCUGGACAAAGACUGACGCUCAGGUGCGAAAGCGUGGGGAGCAAACAGGAUUAGAUACCCUGGUAGUCCACGCCGUAAACGAUGUCGAUUUGGAGGUUGUGCCCUUGAGGCGUGGCUUCCGGAGCUAACGCGUUAAAUCGACCGCCUGGGGAGUACGGCCGCAAGGUUAAAACUCAAAUGAAUUGACGGGGGCCCGCACAAGCGGUGGAGCAUGUGGUUUAAUUCGAUGCAACGCGAAGAACCUUACCUGGUCUUGACAUCCACAGAACUUACCAGAGAUGCAUUGGUGCCUUCGGGAACUGUGAGACAGGUGCUGCAUGGCUGUCGUCAGCUCGUGUUGUGAAAUGUUGGGUUAAGUCCCGCAACGAGCGCAACCCUUAUCCUUUGUUGCCAGCGGUCCGGCCGGGAACUCAAAGGAGACUGCCAGUGAUAAACUGGAGGAAGGUGGGGAUGACGUCAAGUCAUCAUGGCCCUUACGACCAGGGCUACACACGUGCUACAAUGGCAUAUACAAAGAGAAGCGACCUCGCGAGAGCAAGCGGACCUCAUAAAGUAUGUCGUAGUCCGGAUUGGAGUCUGCAACUCGACUCCAUGAAGUCGGAAUCGCUAGUAAUCGUAGAUCAGAAUGCUACGGUGAAUACGUUCCCGGGCCUUGUACACACCGCCCGUCACACCAUGGGAGUGGGUUGCAAAAGAAGUAGGUAGCUUAACCUUCGGGAGGGCGCUUACCACUUUGUGAUUCAUGACUGGGGUGAAGUCGUAACAAGGUAACCGUAGGGGAACCUGCGGUUGGAUCACCU